CAAUCUCUCGCGGCAAGUUCUUGGUGGGAGUUUCUUGGCAGGUAAGUCUGUGUGCUUUCAGGGAGUCCGCUCCUCUGGUGAGGCUGGGGUACUGACCUGGCCGGACGACCUCAAAGUGGCAUUCAGAGGGCCUCUUUUUCUCUGAAUUACUGGACCUGUUAAAAAUAGGAACUCUUGUGUUAAAUAUAGGUGGGGACCCCUCGGCCAUCUCUGCCACCUUGAAAGGUAUGGAAAUCCUCUGAGGAAUCAUGAGUAGAGAGGCUCUUUUUGAUGUUUUCUGUAAUUACCAUCCUCAUGGUUUUAGUGUUAUUGUUAUGUAUAUAUAUAUAUAUAUAUAUAUUUAAUAUCCUCUACUGGGGAGAUGUCACACUGUUACCGCCAGUAGCUUGAUCUUAAAAUAAAACAAUGUGUUUGAUUCACUUAAUAUUUUGUGUGUCUACGGAAGUGUUGCACAGAGACAGGACAUGGCUUUUGUUGGAAACUUGCUAGAUUGAACUUAUGCAUGUCAUCUUUGUUAAUAUGUCACUACAGUAGCUACUCCUAAAUUGUGUGUAGUAAUCACUUAGAUGACAAAAAACUAGGGCCCCUUUUGUCAGGAUUAUUAAAUAAACAUGAAGAGAAGUUUGACAGGAUUUCCAAAUGGUUUUUAUUUACCUAGAUCCAUAGCCUCAAAGUCUUAACUGGAAGUGUAUUUCCUAAAUUGAAUUUUAAUGCUAGAUUUAUUCAUUGCAGAUCUCCAUUAAAAAUUGGCAAUAAUUGCACAUAAUAUUUGUGGCUUUAUUCAUUUGUUAAGCAUCUAUAUGCAAGGCAUUUUGGCAGAAAUCAGCACAGAAUAUAAUCAAGUCCUUGUUAGAUUAUUAUUUUGUAGCAGCUAGGGAAUAGAUCAGACUCUUGAGGUGCCACAAGUGUACCCACACCCGCAUGCACCUCUAGAAGAGGGUUCUCAACCUAGGCAUUGUUGAUACUUUGGAUUAGAUAAUUCUUUGUAUUGGGGAGGGGGGCUAUCCUGUGGUUUGUAUAUCUAGCAGCACCUCUGGCCUUUAUCCGAUUCAUACAAUUCUUUGUAUUGGGGAGGGGGGCUGUCUUGUGGUUUGUAGAAUGUCUAGCAGCACCUCUGGCCUCUCUCCGAUACGUGCCAGUAACACCCCACUUCCCCCAAGUGUGACAAUUGAAAAUAUCUCCAGACGUUACCAAAUAACUGUUGGUUGGGCAAAAUCACCCAGGUGAGAAUCACUGCUCUAUAACGUCAAGACCCAAUUAACUUCUCAGUCUUCAGAAAAGAUAGUAAAAGCUCCUGUAUCUGUAAUUACUGAGGUACCAGUUUAGGCCUUUAUAAAAGCUUUUUUUUUUAAAAAAAUUAAACCUUUAUUAAGCCCAGUGAAAAGUGAAUAUGUCAACUCAAUAACAGAAGUUUGUUUAUAUUCAGUGUGUGACAUUAUCUACUUACCAGUGUUGAUUUUAAUCUUAUUUGAAGGAGUUUUUUGGCUAAUGCUGUCAUCAGGAGUUAGUUAUGGUUAGAUAUGGAUGCUUGAAUGUCAGAACCCUGCCUUCUCCAGUCAGUUUUCUGUCCCUAAUUUGUGUAUGCUUCAUAAUAAUAGGCUAAGAAAGAAAUUGAUUAAUUUGCUUGUGUAAAUUAUUUUGUUGAUAACUCUGUGAGCUUUGACUUCUUUAAUUGUACUGUUGACUUUUCCUCUCAGCUCUAAAAAUUAAUUGAAAUGUAUUAUAGAAAUGUUGAAAGGGUCAUAAGUUUGGAGUAAUUAAAUGCAGUUGGCUUGAAGCUACACUCCCUGUGGCAGUAUGCAGGUAGAGGAUGUGAGGAGAAAUUAUCACCUCUGAAUGGUGUAUUUCUUAGGGUCUUUUCAUACUUGAAUGUGUUUUGUGCUCUAAUUUAUAUUUCUUAUGUAUGUAAAUAUGAUUUAUUUAUCUUAGAAAAUAAUAGGAAGUGAAAAUUUUGAAGGAUAAAUGAUUUAUUGGGCAAAGUCUAGUCUUAUGCCUUUAACCAAAUAUCUUAGGAGUAAAUGUGAACUUAAUUUGUAGUUGAAUGAAAAAGGGCAUAAUUCAGGCACUUUAAGAUCUUCACUUAUACAGUCAUUUAAAUAUUUGAUUGAAAAGUAUACUUUCCUGUGUAAAAGUUUUGCAUAAAACUGCAGGCAUAAAUCCUGUAAUACACCUUUCCUGUAUGAUCUUGAAAAAAAAAAAAAAAAAA
ensembl:lncRNA